AACCCGAUGCAAACUGCGAAUACCGGAGAAUGUUAUCACGGGAGACACACGGCGGGUGCUAACGUCCGUCGUGAAGAGGGAAACAACCCAGACCGCCAGCUAAGGUCCCAAAGUCAUGGUUAAGUGGGAAACGAUGUGGGAAGGCCCAGACAGCCAGGAUGUUGGCUUAGAAGCAGCCAUCAUUUAAAGAAAGCGUAAUAGCUCACUGGUCGAGUCGGCCUGCGCGGAAGAUGUAACGGGGCUAAACCAUGCACCGAAGCUGCGGCAGCGACGCUUAUGCGUUGUUGGGUAGGGGAGCGUUCUGUAAGCCUGUGAAGGUGUGUUGUGAGGCAUGCUGGAGGUAUCAGAAGUGCGAAUGCUGACAUAAGUAACGAUAAAGCGGGUGAAAAGCCCGCUCGCCGGAAGACCAAGGGUUCCUGUCCAACGUUAAUCGGGGCAGGGUGAGUCGACCCCUAAGGCGAGGCCGAAAGGCGUAGUCGAUGGGAAACAGGUUAAUAUUCCUGUACUUGGUGUUACUGCGAAGGGGGGACGGAGAAGGCUAUGUUGGCCGGGCGACGGUUGUCCCGGUUUAAGCGUGUAGGCUGGUUUUCCAGGCAAAUCCGGAAAAUCAAGGCUGAGGCGUGAUGACGAGGCACUACGGUGCUGAAGCAACAAAUGCCCUGCUUCCAGGAAAAGCCUCUAAGCAUCAGGUAACAUCAAAUCGUACCCCAAACCGACACAGGUGGUCAGGUAGAGAAUACCAAGGCGCUUGAGAGAACUCGGGUGAAGGAACUAGGCAAAAUGGUGCCGUAACUUCGGGAGAAGGCACGCUGAUAUGUAGGUGAAGUCCCUUGCGGAUGGAGCUGAAAUCAGUCGAAGAUACCAGCUGGCUGCAACUGUUUAUUAAAAACACAGCACUGUGCAAACACGAAAGUGGACGUAUACGGUGUGACGCCUGCCCGGUGCCGGAAGGUUAAUUGAUGGGGUCAGCGCAAGCGAAGCUCUUGAUCGAAGCCCCGGUAAACGGCGGCCGUAACUAUAACGGUCCUAAGGUAGCGAAAUUCCUUGUCGGGUAAGUUCCGACCUGCACGAAUGGCGUAAUGAUGGCCAGGCUGUCUCCACCCGAGACUCAGUGAAAUUGAACUCGCUGUGAAGAUGCAGUGUACCCGCGGCAAGACGGAAAGACCCCGUGAACCUUUACUAUAGCUUGACACUGAACAUUGAGCCUUGAUGUGUAGGAUAGGUGGGAGGCUUAGAAGUGUGGACGCCAGUCUGCAUGGAGCCGACCUUGAAAUACCACCCUUUAAUGUUU
rnacentral:rRNA from 1 species